CAAAAACCUGUGGAUUUCAAACAGCUAGAUUAUGAUCUUGUCCAUCCCUUCAAGGGAAGCAGUGUCAGUAUUGGUGCUGCAAGAGUUGCAAAUGUCUGCAUUAACUUCAAAAGUUUUUGUGAGACCCAGAAUUUGGAAGGGUGUAAGAGAUGUCUGCAACAGUUGCACCAUGAAUGCUCUCAGCUGAAGAACAGACUUCAAUACUUGUUUAAG